GGAGAGAUGCGAGAGCGGUUGAAUCGGGCGGUCUCGAAAACCGUUGAGCCUUUAUGGGCUCCGAGGGUUCGAAUCCCUCUCUCUCCG
rnacentral:tRNA from 1 species